AGUAGAAGGACUGGAACCUCCAGAAAAAGUACUUUAAGUUACCUACAGGUGAUCCUAGUCAGGCAAAUGAAAACAGUAGCCUAAAGUGUCAGUUUCAACCAGAAAAUAACAGCUCUGAUUUCUCAUGGCUCACACUCUUCUGAAACGACUCGGGUAGAGGCUGAGGAAGGCCGUGUUGUUUGUCUACCUGGGACUACACCUACUGAAAGAAGUUCUCAAGUUCUGACUGAGUUCUAAAAUUUUUUGAAGAUUAGAAUUCUUCAUAUGUGGGAUGAGAGACUGAGAAAAGAAAUAAGACACGGAGACAAAGUACAGAGAAAGAACAGCGGGCCCAGGAGACCGGCACUCAGCAUACGGAGGACCAGCACUGGCACCGGCCUCUGAGUUCCCUCAGUUUAUUGAUUACCAUUUUCAGUGUCUCAGCAAGAGGAAUGCGGUAGGAGAGCAGGGUGUCAGC
rnacentral:lncRNA from 1 species